CGCGGCCUAUCAGCUUGUUGGUGAGGUAAUGGCCCACCAAGGCGACGACGGGUAGCCGGCCUGAGAGGGCGACCGGCCACACUGGAACUGAGACACGGUCCAGACUCCUACGGGAGGCAGCAGUGGGGAAUAUUGCACAAUGGGCGCAAGCCUGAUGCAGCAACGCCGCGUGGGGGAUGAAGGCCUUCGGGUUGUAAACCCCUUUUAGCAGGGAAGAAGCGAAAGUGACGGUACCUGCAGAAAAAGCGCCGGCUAACUACGUGCCAGCAGCCGCGGUAAUACGUAGGGCGCAAGCGUUGUCCGGAAUUAUUGGGCGUAAAGAGCUCGUAGGCGGUUUGUCGCGUCUGCUGUGAAAGUCCGAGGCUCAACCUCGGAUCUGCAGUGGGUACGGGCAGACUAGAGUGUGGUAGGGGAGACUGGAAUUCCUGGUGUAGCGGUGGAAUGCGCAGAUAUCAGGAGGAACACCAAUGGCGAAGGCAGGUCUCUGGGCCACAACUGACGCUGAGGAGCGAAAGCGUGGGUAGCAAACAGGAUUAGAUACCCUGGUAGUCCACGCCGUAAACGGUGGGCACUAGAUGUGGGGCUCUUUCCAUGAGUUCCGCGUCGCAGCUAACGCAUUAAGUGCCCCGCCUGGGGAGUACGG
rnacentral:rRNA from 1 species